rnacentral:rRNA from 1 species
CAGCCGCCACGGUAAAACGGAGGGUGCAAGCGUUAAUCGGAAUUACUGGGCGUAAAGCGCACGUAGGCGGUGUGUUAAGUUGGAUGUGAAAGCCCCGGGCUCAACCUGGGAAUUGCAUUCAAAACUGGCACGCUAGAGUAUGUGAGAGGGGGGUAGAAUUCCAAGUGUAGCGGUGAAAUGCGUAGAGAUUUGGAGGAAUACCAGUGGCGAAGGCGGCCCCCUGGCACAAUACUGACGCUCAGGUGCGAAAGCGUGGGGAGCAAACAGGAUUAGAUACCCGCGUAGUCCCUGUCUCUUAUAC